CCUACGGGAGGCAGCAGUAGGGAAUCUUCCACAAUGGGCGAAAGCCUGAUGGAGCAACGCCGCGUGGGUGAAGAAGGUCUUCGGAUCGUAAAACCCUGUUGUUAGAGAAGAAAGUGCGUGAGAGUAACUGGUCACGUUUCGACGGUAUCUACCCAGAAAGCCACGGCUAACUACGUGCCAGCAGCCGCGGUAAUACGUAGGGGGCAAGCGUUAUCCGGAUUUAUUGGGCGUAAAGGGCACGCCGGCGGUCUUUUAAGUCAAAUGUGAAAGCCUUCGGCUUAACCGGAGGAGUGCAUUGGAAACUGGGAAACUUGAGUGCAGAAGAGGAGAGUGGAACUCCAGGUGUAGCGGUGAAAUGCGUAGAUAUAUGGAAGAACACCAGUGGCGAAAGCGGCUCUCUGGUCUGUAACUGACGCUGAGGUGCGAAAGCGUGGGUAGCAAACAGGAUUAGAUACCCUAGUAGUC
rnacentral:rRNA from 1 species